rnacentral:tRNA from 1 species
AGGGACUUAGGUUAAACAACAGACCAAGGGCCUUCAAAGCCCUAAGCAGGUAUAUUACUUAGUCCCUG